CAUCAGCAAGAAUGGUGAGGAGACAGAAGGGAAAGAAAACACAAGAACAAGCAAGUCAACCAAGCCCACGAAGCAUGUCUGGCUGUGUGAGAGGCACCAAGCUGAAAGAACAUCAUGGGGAUCAGUUAGAGAAGCAUCUGAAUUGGCCAACGUAGACCAUGCUGUCGUGUCGGGCUCCCCCUUGGAGAUAAAGGCAGCAUCUGCUCGGUUGACAGCAGGUGAACAGGGUGGCAGGAGGGCCAGGAGCUGUAUCUGGCUGGCUCCUCAUAGGAUGGUGUGAAGAGUCAUGGGAUGAAAGGGCCUGAAGGUGACGGAAGCCCUUUGUAUUUUCUCCCUAAGAAGAGACAUGAAGCUGGAAUGAGAGAAGAAAGACAACGUGUGGAAAGCAAAAGAAAAUUAAAUAUCCUUUA